AACGAACGCUGGCGGCAGGCCUAACACAUGCAAGUCGAGCGCGCCCUUCGGGGUGAGCGGCGGACGGGUGAGUAACGCGUGGGAACGUGCCCUUUUCUACGGAAUAGCCUCGGGAAACUGAGAGUAAUACCGUAUACGCCCUUUGGGGGAAAGAUUUAUCGGAAAAGGAUCGGCCCGCGUUGGAUUAGGUAGUUGGUGGGGUAAUGGCCUACCAAGCCGACGAUCCAUAGCUGGUUUGAGAGGAUGAUCAGCCACACUGGGACUGAGACACGGCCCAGACUCCUACGGGAGGCAGCAGUGGGGAAUCUUAGCCAAUGUGGGCAACCCUGAUCCAGCCAUGCCGCGUGAGUGAUGAAGGCCUUAGGGUUGUAAAGCUCUUUCAGCUGGGAAGAUAAUGACGGUACCAGCAGAAGAAGCCCCGGCUAACUCCGUG
rnacentral:rRNA from 1 species